AGAUGUCCCUUGCAGACAGGACUGCAAGACCCGCUCCUGCCAGGUUGGACUUUGCCUCCAAACGUGGCGCAGCCUCUUCCAUUGUGACAUCACCCACUGCCGUUGUGUCACAAAGCAGCGUCAGCGCUGAGGUCGGCACAGCAGGGGAUAAGACCAGGGGUCUCCCUGCGCCUUGGCCACUCUCGAUCUUGAGGGAACCGAGAUCGCAGAGUUUUUGGCUCAUUCCUGAGCAAGGAAGAUGCUUGUUACCUGCACCUCAGCAGGUACCAAGGGACACACAGAGAAGGUUGAACGUCUGAACGGGAAGAUGAAGGCACUGAAGGCAUCGACCCUGGUGCUGCUUCUCGGUCUCUUCUCUUUUGGUGUUUACCACGUGGGACGACUUGGUGCCUUAACCCCCUGGAGCACUGCAGACCUGAGCAAAACCCUGCCCCUGCCAGACCAGCUCCGUGAGGUUCAGGAACAGCUUUAUCAUCUGCGCUGGAGCACUAAGGAUGUGGCUGAGCGGGCUCUGCAGGAAGGACUGAAGCAGGCAAAGCUCCCAGGCGUUACCGGACGGG